UACGGGGGGGGCAAGCGUUGUUCGGAAUUACUGGGCGUAAAGGGCUCGUAGGUGGCCAACUAAGUCAGACGUGAAAUCCCUCGGCUUAACCGGGGAACUGCGUCUGAUACUGGAUGGCUUGAGUUUGGGAGAGGGACGCGGAAUUCCAGGCGUAGCGGUGAAAUGCGUAGAUAUCUGGAGGAACACCGGUGGCGAAGGCGGCGUCCUGGACCAACACUGACACUGAGGAGCGAAAGCCAGGGGAGCAAACGGG
rnacentral:rRNA from 1 species